GAUAAACGCUGGCGGCGCACAUAAGACAUGCAAGUCGAACGGACUUAACUCAUUCUUUUAGAUUGAGAGCGGUUAGUGGCGGACUGGUGAGUAACACGUAAGCAACCUGCCUAUUAGAGGGGAAUAACAGUGAGAAAUCAUUGCUAAUACCGCAUAUGCUAACAGUAUCGCAUGAUACAGUUAGGAAAGGAGCAAUCCGCUAAUAGAUGGGCUUGCGUCUGAUUAGCUAGUUGGUGAGAUAACAGCCCACCAAGGCGACGAUCAGUAGCCGGUCUGAGAGGAUGAACGGCCACAUUGGAACUGAGACACGGUCCAA
rnacentral:rRNA from 1 species